rnacentral:misc_RNA from 1 species
UGGUUCCGGCAUCGAUGAAGAACGCAGCGAAAUGCGAUAAGUAAUGUGAAUUGCAGAAUUCAGUGAAUCAUCGAGUCUUUGAACGCACAUUGCGCCCCCUGGCAUUCCGGGGGGCAUGCCUGUCCGAGCGUCAUUACUGCCCUCAAGCCCGGCUUGUGUGUUGGGCCUCCGUCCCCUGGGACGGGGCCCGAAAGGCAGUGGCGGCGUCGUCCGAUCCUCGAGCGUAUGGGGCUUUGUCACCCGCUCUUGCAGGACCGGCCGACGUCCAGUCGACCUCCAAUCUUUCUCCAGAUUGACCUCGGAUCAGGUAGGGAUACCCGCUGA